rnacentral:rRNA from 1 species
GGUGAGUAACACGUGAACAAUCUACCUUCGAGCGGGGAAUAACCCCGCGAAAGCGGGGCUAAUACCCCAUGACAUCCCCGCAUGCAAAGGCUCGCUCGAAGAGGAGUUCGCGCCUGAUUAGCUAGUUGGUGAGGUAACGGCCCACCAAGGCAACGAUCAGUAGCCGGCCUGAGAGGGCGUACGGCCACACUGGAACUGAGACACGGUCCAGACUCCUACGGGAGGCAGCAGUGGGGAAUUUUGCGCAAUGGGCGAAAGCCUGACGCAGCAACGCCGCGUGGAGGAUGAAGGCCUUCGGGUCGUAAACUCCUGUCAGUGGGGACGAAUGACUGUACCUGCUGAGGAAGCCACGGCUAACUCCGUGCCAGCAGCCGCGGUAAUACGGAGGUGGCAAGCGUUGUUCGGAAUUAUUGGGCGUAAAGGGCGCGUAGGCGGCUUUGCAAGUCAGAUGUGAAAGCCCCGGGCUUAACUCGGGAAUUGCAUCUGAAAC